rnacentral:rRNA from 1 species
CAGUAGCCGCGGUAAUACGAAGGGUGCAAGCGUUAAUCGGAAUUACUGGGCGUAAAGCGUGCGCAGGCGGUUUGUUAAGACAGAUGUGAAAUCCCCGGGCUCAACCUGGGAACUGCAUUUGUGACUGGCAAGCUAGAGUGUGGCAGAGGGGGGUGGAAUUCCGCGUGUAGCAGUGAAAUGCGCAGAUAUGCGGAGGAACACCGAUGGCGAAGGCAGCCCCCUGGGCCAACACUGACGCUCAUGCACGAAAGCGUGGGGAGCAAACAGGAUUAGAUACCCCUGUAGUCCCUGUCUCUUAUAC